rfam:Helianthus annuus linkage group 8, whole genome shotgun sequence.
ACCUGGCUUGUGAUGAAUUUAUUAUAACAAAUGGGUAAUUUGCGUCUGAAAGUUUUCCAUUGAUGCUAAUCACCUUGGAGAACUGAUGCCUGCU